rnacentral:rRNA from 1 species
AUUGAACGCUGGCGGCAGGCCUAACACAUGCAAGUCGAGCGGAGCGGCGGACGGGUGAGUAAUGCCUAGGAAUCUGCCUGGUAGGGGGGGAUAACGUCCGGAAACGGGCGAUAAUACCGCAUACUAUCAGAUGAGACUUGGGCGGAUUAGCUAGUUGGGGGGUGAAAGGCCUACCAAGGCGACGAUCCGUAACUGGUCUGAGAGGAUGAUCAGUCAAUCUGGAACGGGGACACGGGCCAGACUCCUACGUGCGGCAGCAGUGGGGAAUAUUGGAAAAUGGGCGAAAGCCUGAUCCAGCCAUGCCGCGUGUGUGAAGAAGGUCUUCGGAUUGUAAAGCACUUUAAGUUGGGAGGCGUUACCAAAAGAAUAAGCACCGGCUAACUUCGUGCCAGCAGCCGCGGUAAUUC